AUUGAACGCUGGCGGCAGGCCUAACACAUGCAAGUCGAGCGGAUGAUGGGAGCUUGCUCCUGGAUUCAGCGGCGGACGGGUGAGUAAUGCCUAGGAAUCUGCCUGGUAGUGGGGGACAACGUUUCGAAAGGAACGCUAAUACCGCAUACGUCCUACGGUAGAAAGCAGGGGACCUUCGGGCCUUGCGCUAUCAGAUGAGCCUAGGUCGGAUUAGCUUGUUGGUGAGGGAAUGGCUCACCAAGGCGACGAUCCGUAACUGGUCUGAGAGGAUGAUCAGUCACACUGGAACUGAGACACGGUCCAGACUCCUACGGGAGGCAGCAGUGGGGAAUAUUGGACAAUGGGCGAAAGCCUGAUCCAGCCAUGCCGCGUGUGUGAAGAAGGUCUUCGGAUUGUAAAGCACUUUAAGUUGGGAGGAAGGGUUGUAGAUUAAUACUCUGCAAUUUUGACGUUACCGACAGAAUAAGCACCGGCUAACUCUGUGCCAGCCGCCGCCGUAACAC
rnacentral:rRNA from 1 species